rnacentral:lncRNA from 1 species
GCACAUGCGCGGCAGCUCCCGCUGCUGAAUAGCUGAGAGGCGCACCCGGGCGGCCAGCUGGGCUCGGAGUGCAGCGGGGUUAGGAUGGACGAGGACGUGUUGCACCCUGAAGAGCCUCAUCAUCGCCUGCUCUUGAGGUUCACAGAUGAUACCUUUGAUCCAGAACUUGCAGCAACAAUAGGUACCAACCUUCGCCUUUUCUAUGACGUUUGCAAACUCUCCUACCCACAGGAAGCAGCAGUGGGGAGAGAGCAGGAGGAAGCAGUCCCCACUGUUGAGCGCCGAAGCUCGAGGUUCCACCAGCCUGGUCUGCACAUGUCUUCUUCCUGAACACGAGGCAGACAGUCACCGUCUUUCCAGACAGAACGGGGAUAGGACGCACCCCAUAUCGGAAGCAUCCCUGCUGCGGACGCUUUCACUUCUAAAGAGUCUUGUCUGCUAAUAAGAGUGCCCAUGGCCCAGGGUGGCAGCAGGGGGAUUUAGAAAGGGCAUGAUGAUGGCACUAGCGGCUGCUUUCCUGGUUUGUGCUUUCCCAAAUGUCACCCACUUCUCAGGACCAUUAUCAGUGUCAUGUGCGUGGGUUAAUGAAGGCUCCCCCUUCCAGGGAGAUGAGCACACAGGCUCCUUUUCCCUCCUUCACUCUUCUCCCGGGGCCUUUCUCUCCCCUGGCCACCUCCUGCACCCAAUUACAUCUGUGGCCCAGGCAAGGGAAGCCACGCCUUCAGGAAGGGUCGGCUCUUCCCCUGGGGAGUUUCCACUAUGAACCCUAGGGGCCUCUCAACAGGAAGGAUGGAGGCGCCACCUUCUGUGGCUUUCAACACCUUUUCCUAAAUAUUUGUUGAUUUUGAGCUUUCCACAAUUAAACAGAUCAUGUAGUCUCUGGGUUAGGACUCAGGACAGAGAUUGGUUAUUUGAGCUUGUCACUAGUCUUUUUAAAUACACACAAUAGGAUAGUGGUUACACAGAAACAUGUGGGAAACCCUCCUGGAGGGAGAGGAUAUUUCCUUCAUUCUCAUCUCAAGGAUUCAUCUAUACAGUGGCCACCAGGAGGCAGCCGAGUCUCCUCCUCAUGGCCCAGAGACGCCCUGGUUCAUCUUUGGAAUCUCCCUUGCUACGGACAGGAAGGGCACUAGAGCGGAAUGCAGGUGGGCUUCAUCUGCGUCGAACUUCCCUUGAUUCCUUCUCCAAGCUGUGUCUUCCUCCCCAGUUCUGUACUGACUCGGGGAGAACUGGGCAGAGAGCAGAGAGCCCCUCUGAUGAUGUAGGGCACCUCUGGUAACUGCAUGGAUGUGUGACCGCUUCGUGGGGCACGGGGCGCCAGGAGUAAAAGCUGGGAUUCUGGAGUGGGGGGACCUGGGUUCAAAUCCAGCUCUGCCACCCAGUAGCUGCUGGGACUCCAGACACGUUCCUGCCUCUGGAAGCCCUGGUGGGCAGAAUACUUCCUAUGUCAUGGGAUUUGGGGAAGCUUGAGAGACAGGAGGUUGCAUAGCAAGGAACACACAAUAAGUUCUCAAAAAGUGUGCGUUCCUUUCCCGGCACAGGCAAUGAAUUACAGAGUCAGGACUCCGUAUGGGACCAGACAGAAACCACGGGCCCUGAGUCACCGUGCCAGGCUGCUCUGAAAUACCUUUAAUCUGCAACAGCAUCAGCCUCUUGUAGGGCACGGCGCUGUUGUUAGAGUUCUGUUCCGUCAGGUUGACGCUCCGCAGGCUGACGUUGCUGAAGUUUUCUUUACUGGCUAAACCCGCCAGGGUGACUUCUGAGAAGUUGGAGUUGGAAGACACUGGGCACGUUGAAUAAGGAAACACAACGCAGGAGGUUCAGUUACAGUGACAAUAUUUACAGUCAGAAAUUAUUCAUAACUGACUCAACACCUUUGUCUUUUCAAGUUAAUCCCGAGAGGGAAAACAUACUCAAGUUUGAUUAAAUGUGCAAUUCAAUGCUUAACCACUGUGUUAAGAAUUAAGUACAGCAUUGAAAAUAUAAA